rnacentral:misc_RNA from 1 species
AACCUGGCGAAGCUGGCCUGCGCUGGCUUGCCUGUCGAGAUCGUGCAGAUCGCCGAGCUCGAGCGCUCGCCUGCGCCAUGCGAGAGACCCGAAGCGUUACCUCCGAUCGACCUCGACCGGGAAGCGCUGAUCAUUUACACCUCCGGGACCAGCGGCCGGCCCAAGGGUGCUCGCAUCACCUAUGGCAACCUCUGGUUCGGCGCAGUCGCCUCCGCCCUCCACCU